rnacentral:rRNA from 1 species
UACCCUACGGGGGGCAGCAGCAGGGAAUUUUCGUCAAUGGGCGCAAGCCUGACCCAGCAACGCCGCGUGAAGGAAGAAGGCUUUCGGGUUGUAAACUUCUUUUCUCAGGGACGAAGAAAGUGACGGUACCUGAGGAAUAAGCCACGGCUAACUACGUGCCAGCAGCCGCGGUAAUACGUAGGUGGCAAGCGUUAUCCGGAUUUACUGGGUGUAAAGGGCGUGUAGGCGGGGAAGCAAGUCAGAUGUGAAAACCACGGGCUCAACCUGUGGCCUGCAUUUGAAACUGUUUUUCUUGAGUACUGGAG